AUUCACAUGGAGGGUGACGCCAGGGAACUAAAUUCCUGGGUUUCCCGGCUGAGUUGUGCCUGGCAAAGCAGAGCAGGGAAAGGCAGAGCACCAGGAGAGGUGAACACCCCCAGCUCUCCCAGCCUGUCUCCAGAGCAGAGGGGCUCCAGCCCUUGGAGCAUCUCCAUGGCCUUUUAUAGAAUAUGAGAUGGAGUUUGUGAGUAUCGACCAGCCCCCUCACAUAACACUUUCCUGUCCUUGUCAGCACUCCCAUUCAUCCAUCAAUAACUCUGCAAUUCCAUCCUCCUCCUCAGAAGAGGUGUAAUUUGUCAGGACUGGUGCUGCAGAGCUGAGUCCAAGGUAGCAAGCUCCCGUGCCAGGGAGCCAAGGCCAUGGCACAGCUCCUGCAAGCUCACAGCUGGGGACUGCACAGCAGCCAAGAUUUCCAGCCCAAAUUCUGUAUCUCUUUGCUUCUCUGAGUUUAAGUCGUGAACUUACCAGUCGCACAUUUUUAUGUAAUUUAAUAUCUUUUCCGUGGCUUCAUUUUCUCUUCUGAUAUUAAAAAAAGAAAAGGAAAAGCUCUCCUGGGCAUGAAUGAGGAUUUAUGUAAUAGGUUGCAAUGGCUCCAUCAAAGCCAUUGUGCUCUGUCUUGUGAAUAUCUAUUUAAUCAGUGGUUUUAAAAGACCUUAUUUGUGCUAAGUGAUUUUUCUUUCUUAGACUGCAGCAAGAAUCUCCUACUCUUCUGGAGACAGAGUGCAGCCAGUGCAGCUACUCUGGGCUUGAAUGGCACUAUUGAACCAGCUUUGUGCUGGCAAGAGGUUCAAGUACCAGAGAUGCUAUUCAGAUGAUUAUGGAGCUGGUGCAGGAGUUAGGGAAAGAGCACUGCAGGAUGCUGCUUCUCUGAUGAAGUGCUGGGGUGUAUUGACUGAUCUAUUACACUCAAGUCAAUAAGGAA